UACGGAGGGUGCAAGCAUUAAUCGGAUUUAUUGGGCGUAAAGGGCGCGUAGGCGGGCUGAAAAGUCGGGUGUGAAAUUCCGGAGCUUAACUUCGGAGCUGCAUUUGAAACUAAUAGUCUAGAGGGUAGGCGGAGAAAAUGGAAUUCCACGUGUAGCGGUGAAAUGCGUAGAUAUGUGGAAGAACACCGGUGGCGAAAGCGGUUUUCUAGCUUAUACCUGACGCUGAGGCGCGAAAGCAAGGGGAGCAAACAGG
rnacentral:rRNA from 1 species